UCCCCAGUAGCUCAGUUGGUAGAGCAGGUGGCUGUUAACCACCGCGUCCAUGGUUCGAGUCCGUGCUGGGGAGCCA
rnacentral:tRNA from 3 species